CUAAAAGUUCUCCAACACA
rnacentral:tRNA from 2 species